rnacentral:rRNA from 1 species
AACGAACGCUGGCGGCAUGCCUAACACAUGCAAGUCGAACGCCCCGCACGGGGAGUGGCAGACGGGUGAGUAACACGUGGGAACCUUCCCUAUAGUACGGAAUAGCCCAGGGAAACUUGGAGUAAUACCGUAUACGCCCGAAAGGGGAAAGAAUUUCGCUAUAGGAUGGGCCCGCGUAGGAUUAGCUAGUUGGUGAGGUAAUGGCUCACCAAGGCGACGAUCCUUAGCUGGUUUGAGAGAACGACCAGCCACACUGGGACUGAGACACGGCCCAGACUCCUACGGGAGGCAGCAGUGGGGAAUAUUGGACAAUGGGCGCAAGCCUGAGCCAGCCAGGCCGCGUGAGUGAUGAAGGCCUUAGGGUUGUAAAGCGCUUUUGGCGGGGACGAUAAUGACGGUACCCGCAGAAUAAGUCCCGGCUAACUUCGUG